GAAAGCUCCAUGUUUGUGUGAGCUCACUGGAGGAGGGCACAUUUUUAAACAGGGAAUCUGCUGAAACAGGACAAUUCCUGAUUUUUGACGAUCUGAGGGUCUUGGUGGAGAUUUCAGCUGACACCUUGGAAAGGGAUUCCAGUUGACUACUCUCCGACGCGCCUCCAAACAUUGGCCUCUGUGCCAAAUCGAUUGUUCUUUUCUUUCUUUUUUUAAAAGACCCCAGACAUAUCCUUUUCAGCAGCUCUGUGAAACCGCUCACAUCUUUUGCUAACCUCCCUGCCAGCGCACGUCCUUUGCCUUCUUGGGGUACUUGCUUCCACUCUUCCACUCUCUGAGGAAUGGAACACAGAUACCGUUUUUACUCUGAGGCACUUGUUGCUUUAAUCUUCAGGGAAAAAAGGAACCACUAUGGAUGAACUGUGUUUAUCAGGGUGGCUGUGCUUUUGUGUACUUUACUGUUCAGUGCUGUAUAGAGCACAGUACUGCAGCAUCUUUAUGUCAAGCCCAGGAUGUCCAGCAGCACGUGCAAAAGCAGACAGAGGUGAUGGAGCUGUUGCCACGGUGCUUUUCAAGUCCCGCACCACAGACCCUUCCCUGGCUGUGAUGUGCUGUUGUUGUUUGGAACCAGCCUCUGUGCAAGGCUGUCGGUAACAGGACUCCAGCUUCCUGCUUGGGAAAGAGCAGCGGCCGAUUAUAAUCCUACCCAGCGUGAUGGCACUAGCCAGAUGCGAACGCGGAACCCACAAAGGUAUUAGCUAAAAAUUAGGCAGCGCUGCCAACGCCAGUCUCCAGCCUUCGUUUAAAAACCGCAGCGACUCCAGCCAGUCGAGCGGCAGCGUCGUCGGAGGCUUUAGCAGGAAGGUAGAGAGAUGACAGCAAGUUCCACGUGAUUUAUUUCUGCUCUCCAGCCCGCGUUCCCAGCUGAACGGGAGCGCGGGAAACCUGCAGCUGUUGUCUUGCGUCCCGGGUUCCCACUGUGCGGCAGGCUGCAGUCCUCGCCGGAAGCGGACUUUGUGUUUGCGCGCCUGUGCAUGCAAACGCUCUGUCUUCCCUAGGCCUCCUUACUCACAAGUGCCUGGGAACACAGUCUGGUUCUAAGCGAAGAGCUAAGCGAGGCUGGGGUUUGCAACCAGCUGCUGGGGGUCAGAAACUGAAUGUCACGCAGCUAAAUUGUCUUUCAUGCUGCCUGUCAAAAAGCAAAGACACAAGAGACGCCAAUCCAACCAGAAAACUCAAGCAUCCAACUUCUUAUGAUUUAACUCUGGUGACUUGACAGUUUUUUGGUUUUUUCUUUUUCAGCAAGGAUCCCUGGGAUGAUGGUCUUAUGAGAGCCGAGUGAACAAAGAAAACAGGUGAAUUCAAUUGCCCAGAAGUGCCUGUUCAUCAGAGGCACUUUCCUGCUUGUAAGUCCACCCACGGGCCGCGUAGGGUUAAGUGGCAAAACUCAUUCUCAAAGGCACAUAAAUUCCCUGAAGCCUGAGUUAAGAUCUAAAUUCUAAGCCUGAAUAAAUGUGUCUCUAGAACCUUUUAUAAACGUUAC
ensembl:lncRNA